rnacentral:tRNA from 1 species
GCGGCAGUGGUGUAGUGGUAUCACAUGGCCUUGCCAAGGCCAUAACCCGGGUUCGAGUCCCGGCUGCCGCA